GACGAACGCUGGCGACGCGCCUAACACAUGCAAGUCGAACGGAGUCAAGAGGAGCUUGCUUUUCUUGACUUAGUGGCGAACGGGUGAGUAACGCGUGAGUAACCUGCCCUGGAGUGGGGGACAACAGUUGGAAACGACUGCUAAUACCGCAUAAGCCCACGGAUCUGCAUGGAUCUGCGGGAAAAGGAUUUAUUCGCUCUAGGAUGGACUCGCGUCCAAUUAGCUAGUUGGGGAGGUAACGGCCCACCAAGGCGACGAUGGGUAGCCGGACUGAGAGGUUGAACGGCCACAUUGGGACUGGGACACGGCCCAGACUCCUACGGGAGGCAGCAGUGGGGGAUAUUGCACAAUGGGGGAAACCCUGAUGCAGCGACGCCGCGUGGAGGAAGAAGGUUUUCGGAUUGUAAACUCCUGUCGUCAGGGACGAUAAUGACGGUACCUAACAAGAAAGCACCAGCUAACUACGUG
rnacentral:rRNA from 1 species